GGCGGCGUGCCUAAUACAUGCAAGUCGAACGGUCUUUCUAUGGAAGCUUGCUUCCACUGAGAAGAUAGUGGCGAACGGGUGAGUAACACGUGGGUAACCUGCCCAUAAGAGGGGGGAUAACAUCCGGAAACGGGUGCUAAUACCGCAUAGUUUUCUUGAUCGCAUGAUCGGGAAAGGAAAGACGGCCUUUGUGCUGUCGCUUAUGGAUGGACCCGCGGCGUAUUAGUUAGUUGGUGAGGUAACGGCUCACCAAGACGAUGAUACGUAGCCGACCUGAGAGGGUGAUCGGCCACAUUGGGACUGAGACACGGCCCAAACUCCUACGGGAGGCAGCAGUAGGGAAUCUUCCGCAAUGGACGAAAGUCUGACGGAGCAACGCCGCGUGAGUGAAAGAAGGUUUUCGGAUCGUAAAACUCUGUUGUCAGAGGAGAACAAGUUGGAGAGUAACUGCUCCAGCCUUGACGGUAUCUGACCAGAAAGCCACGGCUAACUACGUGCCAGCCGCGGC
rnacentral:rRNA from 1 species